CCUACGGGAGGCAGCAGUGAGGAAUAUUGCGCAAUGGAGGAAACUCUGGAGCAGCCAUGCCGCGUGAGUGAAGAAGGCCUUAGGGUUGUAAAGCUCUUUCAGAUGUGAGGAUAAUGACAGUAGCAUCAGAAGAAGCCCCGGCUAAAUUCGUGCCAGCAGCCGCGGUAAUACGAAUGGGGCAAGCGUUGUUCGGAAUCACUGGGCGUAAAGCGUAUGUAGGCGGUUUUCCAAGUCAGGAGUGAAAUCCCAGGGCUCAACCCUGGAACGGCUCUUGAAACUGGAUCACUAGAGUCCCGGAGAGGUUGGCGGAAUUCCGAGUGUAGAGGUGAAAUUCGCAGAUAUUCGGAGGAACACCAGUGGCGAAGGCGGCCAACUGGACGGGAACUGACGCUCAGAUACGAAAGCGUGGGGAGCAAACAGGAUUAGAUACCCUGGUAGUCCACGCCGUAAACGAUGUGUGCUAGUUGUUGGGCAUCAUAGUGUUCAGUGACGAAGCUAACGCAAUAAGCACACCGCCUGGGGAGUACGGCGCAAGAUUAAAACUCAA
rnacentral:rRNA from 1 species